GGACUACUCGGGUAUCUAAUCCCAUUCGCGACCCACGCUUUCGUGCUUCAGCGUCAGGAGCGGACCAGUCUCUUGCCUUCGCUUUUGGUGUUCCCCAUGAUAUCAACGCAUUUCACCGCUACACCAUGAGUUCCAGAGACCUCUUCCGUCCUCAAGCAAUGCCGUUUCCCACGCAGCCUCUCGGUUGAGCCGAGAGAUUUAACGCAAGACUAACAUCGCCGCCUACGCACCCUUUACGCCCAAUGAUUCCGGAUAACGCUUGAAGCACUCGUAUUACCGCGGCUGCUGGCAC
rnacentral:rRNA from 1 species